rnacentral:lncRNA from 1 species
AGCGGAGGGUCGUUGUACGUCAUCGCUGAUGAAGUAGGGAGUAAGUACAGUCGUGACUACAAAAUCAACUACUUCCAGACUUUGUGUGAGUUGCUGCUGACUCGAGUUCCUCGUCUCCAUCUGUGGGCGGCAAGUUGUUUCCAAGACUACACACCCGCCGGCUGGCAAGUGGAAUAUUUAACCAGACCACUCCGCUCUCCUCCGGCCGUCGUCAGGGAAGUCGAGCAGGACGUGAGGAUCACUAGACACCGUGAGGUACUGCCGUACAGAGAGCGAGGUGUGCCCGACCACACAGACGGCCCGCCAGUCACACGACUGUAUCACCGAGGUCAGGGUCACCCAGGUCUCAUGCCUCGUGACUGUUUUACAUGCGGUCGUGAGGUGGCCAGCUUCCUACACAGUCUCCGUGUUGGUGUUACAGGGAGAAGCACAACAACAUCUACAACAUUGACCUCUACCAGUGUCGGCACAACACCACCCUGUCUACAGUGGAGAGACGUGCUGGUGUUGUACUGGAAUGACAUUAGUGAUCAGUGGGGUGUGGUCACAGGACUGCAAGAAGCGGGUAUCCCAGUGCGGAUGAUGAAGGAUGAUGACAUCGAGGACGUGGCCACGGCCCGCAGUGACGUGGUGUGGGUGGCGGGUGGAAAUCGUGUUCGUGGUCUGGAGAGAAAAGUCGUCGUCUGUCUGGAGGACCCUGAUUUUGAUUUAUUUACACCUAAGUAUUUAGAUCUUACCACUCCCCGACUUGACCUCAUGUCCCGCUGUACGUCACAACUUGUGAUUGUCUCCCUGAAGCUAGUGGAAUGAUACUUUAAUGUUAAUAAAUAGUAGAAGUUGUGUUUGUAAUCAAAAUAUAAUGAAUCUAAUUAUUUCCUAUUUUUUUAUGUAAGUUUUCUUGUAUUUUAAUAUCAGAUAAAAAAUAAAAAAAAAUUGUAAACAUACAUUCAUGGAAACGUUAUGACGUGUUUCUCUCUUUCUCCCUCUGUCUCUCUCUCACACACACAUACAAAUACACCAGCACACAAACAAAAAGCACAGUGUUCUUUUCAGAUAUAGGUAACACCGUGAAAUUAGUUUUUGUAGACAGAAGACCUCUGCAGGCCUAAGAGCAUUCUCGCCAUUCUAUGUUAACAAACAGCAGAAAGCUUUUAAAAGUAGUGUUCGGAUACAGAACACAAGCACAAAGUUGUGUUCAAACAGCAGACUCACAAACACACAGAUCCACAACUGUUUCCUGUAUCCAUCUUUCUCAGUUGUCUCCACUUUUCUCAGUACUCUUCAGCAUUUUCACUCGUUCUCUCACUUUAAAGAGUCAUGACUACCACGCAGGAUCUUUUUUUCUUCUUCUGAGAAUCGGCUUCUCAUUCUUGCAAUCUACCCUAAAUAAGGUUAAACAGAAUGUUUUAGUAAAGAUUUGUACCUGACACGCAUUUUUACAGCAGUUCAAUCGUACCUAAACGAAAAUCUGGCACGAUGAUAAAACAGGGUUAGGGUUACAUGGCAGGUCAUCGCUGUUUAAUUUGAUGAAAACUUCGAUUGAAAUGAGCAUGAAAUGGAUCAAAUGGUAAACAGAAAUGAUUUCCAGCUGUAUAUGUUGUUUCUUGGAGUAGUUUGUCUUCGAAAGCAAACUUCAUGUGUGUCAUAGGGACAUCCCAAAACACAAACGAUUGGUUGCUUGUGUAAUACAAUGUACACCGACUUCAAGUGUAUUCCUCCGCCUGAAGAGCAGAUAAGGUGUUCUAAUAAAUACUAAACCGCAGUUCAAGUCUUACAUUCGGACAUGGGGUGAUUACAAACAAUAAAAUGGUUCCUGUGGUCGUCCUUAUUGACCAUUACAACGUUUCACAAUGUCGUUGCCCAAUCGGCGUCUGACCCUUGUGUCCAUGGCAACUACAAGAACCUGACGGACAUCCACCGCAGUGUAGCCUAUAAGGCGGUCUACCCAGAACCUUUACUGUGUGACGAUGGCCUCACCGCCGGCUGGUACCGGUUUGUGGUCGACGUAGAAUGGAUUUUCCCUAAGUUAUUCCUAGCGACGAUCAACUGUCCUCAUUGUGUCUUAAACAACAUUUGUGUCGGACUGAUGGCGGGAAGAUAGUGAGUAGACACUAAAAUGAACAUCUGUGUGUGAACGGAGAUUUGAAAAGGAUGCACUAUGGGCACUUUUAUGAGCUCUACCCUCGUCUGACUGACCCGCCGAUAUUCGAUGGACCAGUAAUAGAACAGAACGCCUUCUACUUCACCUGUGACCUGACCUUCGGCGGCAGUAACCCCAAUCAAGCCUUUGAGUUCGUCUCCAAACAUGCAGCAAAAAUGUAUUUGGCUUGUAGAGCAGAAAAUAGAAAACUGACCUCAUCCACAGUGCCGAAAAAAAAAGUCCAUCAAGCGAUUUUAUCUCACAGCUACCAUCGAUGGCCGUCGUUAUAGCAACGCCGUGAAUGUGACUGUCUACGAACUCAAUCCGAAGGAUAACUCGCAGGUCUGCACCGUCUCCCUUAGCACGACAGAGUGGUCUCCCGUUCCGACAGUUCAAUGUAGCUUGUCGUGCGCGCUCAAUUUUCACUGACCGUGGUGUUUUCAGUCCCUAUAUAGUCAGCAAUAGUAUCUCAAUGGCAGGUCCCUGAUAGCAGGAGAAAAACUGUCACAGUAUGACGUGUCAGGAAGGUUUGAUGAAAGUUCUUUUUUGGAUGCAGUAAUCAGACAACAGAAAUGUUGGAACAUGGAAAGUGUCUUCUGUACGUCAAUGUUAACAAUAAAAAAGGUUGUAAAAAAUGUUCUUUGCACGGUUCUUAGCUCCUGAGAAUAUCCAAUAUGUUAUCUAAGUAUUCAGCCCAUUGUUUGGUGAGAGAGAAUCAAUGUUAAGGACACGACCUCUUUACACAACUCACUCACUCACCG